GUCCCAUAGGGUCUGACAGAGUCCCAUAGGGUCUGACAGAGUCCCAUAGGGUCUGACAGAGUCCCAUAGGGUCUGACAGAGUCCCAUAGGGUCUGACAGAGUCCCAUAAGGUCUGACAGAGUCCCAUAAGGUCACAAAGUUUUAUGUGUGUCAUAAGGUGUCAAGUUUUAAUGUAGUUGUGUGUGUCUCUCACUCUUUUUUAAUGUAUGUAUGUGUAUGUGUGUGUGUGUGCGUGUGCGUGCGU